UGCCUUAAAGCACAGCAAGUACUGUGUGUGU
rnacentral:piRNA from 1 species